UGCUGUCUCCGAGAGCACUCCAUCACACGCUGAGGACAGUCAUUGCCUCACACAGCCGUCCAGGUCAGACGACCUCAAAGCCACCAGCUGCCACACCAUGCUAGAGACUGGAGGAUCAAUCUUGAACGGGCACAGAGAAGACUGACACUCAGAUGCAAGAUGCUGAACAGAUGAUUGGUGUCUGAAUUCCAAUAACCGCAGAGUACAUGUCUGUGUUCAUGUUUAGCACUUGGCAUCUCCAAUAAUUUGAAUCAACAGAGCUGCUAGUAGGAGUUACAUGGACUUCCUUUUACAGAUUUCCAUAAUGUUACCCCACAAAACUGACCACUGCGUGAAGUAUGAAAAUCCAAAGAAUUCUUGCUUUUAUUUUCUAAUGUUGCCUGGCUCCAGCAUAUUACUGAUCUUACAAAGUCAAGUGCAGCAUUCUCCCCAAGCUUCUCUUACUAAUAAUUUUAGAAAUAAUGACAUCUAAUAGGGGGGGAAUAGUUUGAUCAUCAACAGUAAAUAAUGAUAAAGUUUGACAGUUUGAAAAUAUUGCAGAAUAACCAGAAGUAGGAAGAUACUAAAAUGUCUGAGCUUCAAAAACAGCAUGUGAGAUUUGUGGAUUUUUGCCAAGGGAAAUUCUCCAAUCUAUAGGCAAAGAGCCAAGCAGAAGACUGAGUUUUAUGUCAACAGAACAAGCAGAAAAUUAGACAAAAAUAAUAGUUUGAAAAGAAA